UACACAGAAUGUUUGCUUCGAACCUUUUUCUGUUGUCACGACAAGAUCUCUGUCAAGUGAAGCUGCUGCUUUUGCUGAUAUUAUUCAAGUAGGAAAUCAAAAUAGGCUUUGAGAAUUAAAUUUUAACAUUUUUUAUGACUUUGAUGAUCAGCAGAAUGAAUACUAGCAGAAGUAUUACAAGCUUUGGCUUGUAAAUACUUUUUAUUUGUGAACUUCUUAUGAAUUUAUUUAUUUAACAGCAAUUUAUAAAACCAGCAGAUAUAUUCAAACAGAUUGAUUUUUCUAAGCCUUUACAAUGUGCUAUCCGUGUUGCAACUGCCGAGGACCUUUUUGCUGUUGGCCUACUCCUCGACAAUGGGAGCAACGCUUUUCAGCAAGUGAGCAUCUAGUUACUCGAUUACAUGCUUUCUUGUAAGAGAAACUACAUACUAAGCUGAGUAUGCCACAGCAAAGAUAAUAUCGCUUCCUUUGAAGCAUUUUAUAUGAUUUGAAGACGUGCACGGAUAUACACUAAAUAAUGGAAUUGAAAACAAUUUUUAUCGAACUUGGACCAAAUUUAUUAGUAAAUUUAUUUAGUAAAUAAAUUGAUAAUGAAAUUUCAAUUGUA